UACGUAGGGAGCAAGCGUUGUCCGGAAUUACUGGGCGUAAAGGGCGCGUAGGCGGGGUUAUAAGUUAGGUGUGAAAACGUAGGGCUUAACUUUACGAUUGCACUUAAAACUGUAAUUCUUGAUGACAGGAGAGGAAAGUGGAAUUCCUAGUGUAGCGGUGAAAUGCGUAGAUAUUAGGAGGAACACCAGUGGCGAAGGCGACUUUCUGGACUGUAACUGACGCUGAGGCGCGAAAGCGUGGGGAGUGAACGGGAUUAGAUACCCGCGUAGUCCCUGAGCGGGCUGGCAA
rnacentral:rRNA from 1 species